rnacentral:rRNA from 1 species
UACGAAGGGGGCUAGCGUUACUCGGAUUGACUGGGCGUAAAGGGCGCGUAGGCGGAUGGUACAGUCAGACGUGAAAUUCCUGGGCUCAACCUGGGGGCUGCGUUUGAUACGUGCUGUCUGGAGUUCGGAAGAGGGUCGUGGAAUUCCCAGUGUAGAGGUGAAAUUCGUAGAUAUUGGGAAGAACACCGGUGGCGAAGGCGACUACCUGGCCUGUUCUUGACGCUGAGGCGCGAAAGCUAGGGGAGCAAACGGG